AAAAAAAAAAAAAAAAACUCUCCUUUAUUCAUAGAAAAAUUGUAUUGAAUUUAACUGUUAAAAUUGAGAGCCUUCCAUUUCUUUACUGUCUUUAUUGGUGGCCGCUAGAUCUUAUGGCACAAACAAAAGCAGAGUGUUUCCAGUGAGGCAAUGCUGGUAUUAGUUUCUGCUGUGGCAUUGGCAGAUCCAUCGUUUACACUUAAGCACCAAGGGUUCCUGGAGCCCAGCCAGUUAGGCACAAGGUGAAGGCAUUGAGUGAAGUGAGACAUAUAUCUUUAUAAUAAAAUGUAUGGUAUUUUAUGUGAAAAUGAUAUAUAACACAUAAUUGUAAUAACUAAGGCUAAAAAACUAUGCUAAUAAUUGCUUUGCUUAAAUGGGAGAAUAUCACAUCACAGCAUUGCUCAAUGGAUGUACGUCCAAAUCCUGCAUAAGCUAUUUAAAUUUCUUAAACCUUCUGUUAAUUAUAUGCAAAGCAAUCAAGCAAAGAAAUUAUAAAAACAUAUAUAGUUGGAACAUAGCCUUCAUGCCUCAACUCA
rnacentral:misc_RNA from 1 species